rnacentral:rRNA from 1 species
UACGAAGGGGGGCUAGCGUUGCUCGGAAUCACUGGGCGUAAAGCGCACGUAGGCGGCUUUCUAAGUCAGGGGUGAAAUCCUGGAGCUCAACUCCAGAACUGCCUUUGAUACUGAAGAUCUUGAGUUCGGGAGAGGUGAGUGGAACUGCGAGUGUAGAGGUGAAAUUCGUAGAUAUUCGCAAGAACACCAGUGGCGAAGGCGGCUCACUGGCCCGAUACUGACGCUGAGGCACGAAAGCGUGGGGAGCAAACAGGGA